rnacentral:lncRNA from 1 species
AUGUCUGCUCUGGGCCACGUCUCAAAGGCGUGUGGGGUCCUCCUUUCCCCACGAGGCAGUGACCCAGCUGUCCCCUCUCUCAGGGCAACAGGAAGCAGCCCAAGCAGCUGCCGGAGCUGGCGCCUGCCUGGAAAGCGCAAGAUCCCGAGUUCGAUCCCCGGUACCAAACAAAAACAAAACCCAAAAGCACAAAGCCAGAGAUGUCUGCUCUGGGCCACGUCUCAAAGGCGUGUGGGGUCCUCCUUUCCCCACGAGGCAGUGACCCAGCUGUCCCCUCUCUCAGGGCAACAGGAAGCAGCCCAAGCAGCUGCCGGAGCAGGUGCCUUCCCUCUCGGACACCGUGCCCCACUCCAGCAGCCGGGUGGUGGGCAGCAGGCUGGACACGCCGCUGGGCAGAGACCUGGUCCACAUGGACUUCACAUUCGUGGAAGGGACACGCAGGAAGAGGCCGGGGACCGGGCUGCACCCAGCGUAGGAUGGGGUGCCACCUCGGCAGCGAGCCUUCAGCGCCACGGUCCCGCACGCACCACCUCAGCUCACCCUCUCGGGCUGCGUUUCUGUGCCCCGUGGGCGAGGAGACCAGAGAAGUCAAGUCAUCUCGGAAGUCACACAGUUGGCUGCGGUGGAGCUGGGGUUCGAACUCGAGUUCGGCUCCAGGAACCCCAGGACUGAGCAGAGGCCGAACCUGAGGCAGCUGAGCGCCAGUGACUGUCAGCCGAGCUGCAGAUGGCUGUAGGCAUUUUUGCUUAAAAACCCUCUCUCUCUCUCCGGCCCUUUAUGGAGACGGGUUCUCUAAGUCACUAAGUUGGCCAGCCUGUGCUGGAGCUUGGGAUCCUCCUGCCUCAGCCUCCCAGAGUGCGGGGAUGACGGGCUUGCGCCACCACGCGGGGCCGGGGGUGGGUGGGUUCUGCCCCAAGGUUCCUCGGUCCCCAGCGAUGCCAGUGACCUCGCCACCCCAUUCCGGCUCGCGGGGCCCUGUCUGCGGCUGGGCAGACCGG